CAACAAUUUCUAAAUUUGCUGGCGGAACGAUAUCUAUCCAUGCGCAGACUCUUCCUGGUGCCUUAUUAUAGGAGAUCAGAAAAUUAAGUAAAGAUCAGAUGAGUACCUCUUAACAAAAAAGAGUCCCGCUUUCCUCAGCCGAACCGCCUGAAAAUGGUAGCGAGAAAACCGCCCCGCAACACCGCCCUCGUCGUCUCGGCGAUCCGGAAGCUGCGGGAUAUCCAGGGCACCACUUCCCGCGAGAUAGUGAAUUUCAUCUCUUCGGAAUACGACGUCUCCGGACCCAACCUCAAGCGCCACGUCCAGAUGGCCCUGAAGCGCGGGAUGUCCUACGGUUUGAUCCAUCGCGCAAAAGGCGGCUACUACCUCUCGAACCCCAAGGGGCUGACGAUCAGCUGCGACGACUUGGUUGAUCGUGGCAGAAGAGGAGGGUGCGGAGGCCGGAAACGACGCAGGCGAAGGAGCAGGCGCGGGAAAUGUGGACGCAGGCGAUCCCGCAGGCGAAGGAGGCACGGCAGGGGAAAGUGCAGGGGAAAACGCAGCAGGAGGAAG
rnacentral:lncRNA from 2 species